GGGCCUAACACAUUGCAAAGUUCGAAGCGGUAGCACAGAGAGCUUGCUCUCGGGUGACGAGCGGCGGACGGGUGAGUAAUGUCUGGGAAACUGCCUGAUGGAGGGGGAUAACUACUGGAAACGGUAGCUAAUACCGCAUAAUGUCGCAAGACCAAAGAGGGGGACCUUCGGGCCUCUUGCCAUCAGAUGUGCCCAGAUGGGAUUAGCUAGUAGGUGGGGUAACGGCUCACCUAGGCGACGAUCCCUAGCUGGUCUGAGAGGAUGACCAGCCACACUGGAACUGAGACACGGUCCAGACUCCUACGGGAGGCAGCAGUGGGGAAUAUUGCACAAUGGGCGCAAGCCUGAUGCAGCCAUGCCGCGUGUAUGAAGAAGGCCUUCGGGUUGUAAAGUACUUUCAGCGGGGAGGAAGGUGUUGAGGUUAAUAACCUCAGCAAUUGACGUUACCCGCAGAAGAAGCACCGGCUAACUCCGUGCCAGCAGCCGCGGUAAUACGGAGGGUGCAAGCGUUAAUCGGAAUUACUGGGCGUAAAGCGCACGCAGGCGGUCUGUCAAGUCGGAUGUGAAAUCCCCGGGCUCAACCUGGGAACUGCAUUCGAAACUGGCAGGCUAGAGUCUUGUAGAGGGGGGUAGAAUUCCAGGUGUAGCGGUGAAAUGCGUAGAGAUCUGGAGGAAUACCGGUGGCGAAGGCGGCCCCCUGGACAAAGACUGACGCUCAGGUGCGAAAGCGUGGGGAGCAAACAGGAUUAGAUAU
rnacentral:rRNA from 1 species